UACGGAGGAUGCAAGCGUUAUCCGGAUUUAUUGGGCGUAAAGCGUCCGCAGGUGGCUAUACAAGUCUGCUGUUAAAGCGUGGGGCUUAACUCCAUACAGGCAGUGGAAACUGUAAAGCUAGAGUCUGGUAGGGGUCACGGGAAUUCCCAGUGUAGCGGUGAAAUGCGUAGAUAUUGGGAAGAACACCAGCGGCGAAAGCGCGUGACUGGGCCGGAACUGACACUCAUGGACGAGAGCUAGGGGAGCGAAAGGG
rnacentral:rRNA from 1 species